rnacentral:rRNA from 1 species
CCUACGGGAGGCAGCAGUGGGGAAUAUUGGACAAUGGGCGAAAGCCUGAUCCAGCAAUGCCGCGUGAGUGAUGAAGGCCUUAGGGUCGUAAAGCUCUUUUACCCGGGAUGAUAAUGACAGUACCGGGAGAAUAAGCUCCGGCUAACUCCGUGCCAGCAGCCGCGGUAAUACGGAGGGAGCUAGCGUUGUUCGGAAUUACUGGGCGUAAAGCGUACGUAGGCGGUUAUUCAAGUCAGAGGUGAAAGCCCGGGGCUCAACCCCGGAACUGCCUUUGAAACUAGAUAGCUAGAAUCUUGGAGAGGUCAGUGGAAUUCCGAGUGUAGAGGUGAAAUUCGUAGAUAUUCGGAAGAACACCAGUGGCGAAGGCGACUGACUGGACAAGCAUUGACGCUGAGGUACGAAAGCGUGGGGAGCAAACAGGAUUAGAUACCCUGGUAGUCCACGCCGUAAACGAUGAUAACUAGCUGUCCGGGUACUUGGUAUCUGGGUGGCGCAGCUAACGCAUUAAGUUAUCCGCCUGGGGAGUACGGUCGCAAGAUUAAAACUUAAAGGAAUUGACGG